rfam:Aeromonas hydrophila subsp. hydrophila ATCC 7966, complete genome.
GGAGUUGGCUGGGCAAUCGCUGCUUCGUCGUUGUGUCCCUCGGGACAGACGGGCGGAGGGGAGGAAAGUCCGGGCUUCAUAGGGCAGGGUGCCAGGUAACGCCUGGGGGGCGUGAGCCUACGACCAGUGCAACAGAGAGCAAACCGCCGAUGGCCCGCAAGGGAUCAGGUAAGGGUGAAAGGGUGCGGUAAGAGCGCACCGCGCGACUGGCAACAGUUCGUGGCACGGUAAACUCCACCCGAAGCAAGACCAAAUAGGCCCCUAUUGGCGCGGCCCGCGUUGGGGGCGGGUAGGUUGCUUGAGCCAGCGAGCGAUUGCUGGCCUAGAGGAAUGAUUGCUACCCGGGGCAACCCGGUACAGAACCCGGCUUACAGGCCGACUCCGACC